GAAGGCCUGUGGGGAUACCCUUCAUUCUUGAAGAAGUGCAUUGCUCCACUUCCCAAAGGUUUUUCUCUGCAGAAGGCAUCGUUCCAGAGGGGAAAGAAGGAAGGAGAAAGACUACAGCAAGAAAGCAAUGGCAAGGAUAGGGGAAGAAACACCUCUCUGGAAGGAAAAAGAGAGAGAGAAGGAGAGAGAAAGCACCGAAAACAUUGUAUAGCAAGUGGGGCCUUUUUAAGAGCAAUUUAAAAGAAGCUGAUAUUAUAGAAGGACACUUUUUUGUUUCUCCUGACUAUGUUACUGAAGAAGAUUCACCUUCUAUCACCUACUAAAGAGAAAUCUGUCAAAUCCUUCCAGUGCUGAGCUGUAAAUCCUACGUGGUUAGAUGAAGCCUCUGAAGAAGUGAACCACCCAUUUGCAAAUGCGAAGAAAUGUUUGAUUGGAAAAGAAUGGCAAACUAAAAGCAGCUAUUAAGGAUUUAUUUAGAAAGCCUGCCUGCAACUUCUAAAGGCAAGACAAGGUGUAAUUCAGAUUUGUGUCUUUUGUUAGUGCUUUUCUUUUGAAUGUUUUAAAUCCAUGGGGCUUGCAGCCCUGGUGAAUAAAUGUUCUCCUUCCCUUCUGUAACAUAAUUUGAGCCAAUCUAGAAUUA